rfam:Zostera marina strain Finnish scaffold_77, whole genome shotgun sequence.
GGGGAUGUAGCUCAAAUGUUAGAGUGUUCGUUUAGCAUGUGAGAGGUCACGGGUUCGAUACCCCACUUCUCCA